rnacentral:rRNA from 1 species
CAGGCUUAACACAUGCAAGUCGAGGGGCAGCAUGGUCUUAGCUUGCUAAGGCUGAUGGCGACCGGCGCACGGGUGAGUAACACGUAUCCAACCUGCCGUCUACUCUUGGCCAGCCUUCUGAAAGGAAGAUUAAUCCAGGAUGGCAUCAUGAGUUCACAUGUCCGCAUGAUUAAAGGUAUUUUCCGGUAGACGAUGGGGAUGCGUUCCAUUAGAUAGUAGGCGGGGUAACGGCCCACCUAGUCAACGAUGGAUAGGGGUUCUGAGAGGAAGGUCCCCCACAUUGGAACUGAGACACGGUCCAAACUCCUACGGGAGGCAGCAGUGAGGAAUAUUGGUCAAUGGGCGAUGGCCUGAACCAGCCAAGUAGCGUGAAGGAUGACUGCCCUAUGGGUUGUAAACUUCUUUUAUAAAGGAAUAAAGUCGGGUAUGCAUACCCGUUUGCAUGUACUUUAUGAAUAAGGAUCGGCUAACUCCGUGCCAGCAGCCGCGGUAAUACGGAGGAUCCGAGCGUUAUCCGGAUUUAUUGGGUUUAAAGGGAGCGUAGAUGGAUGUUUAAGUCAGUUGUGAAAGUUUGCGGCUCAACCGUAAAAUUGCAGUUGAUACUGGAUGUCUUGAGUGCAGUUGAGGCAGGCGGAAUUCGUGGUGUAGCGGUGAAAUGCUUAGAUAUCACGAAGAACUCCGAUUGCGAAGGCAGCCUGCUAAGCUGCAACUGACAUUGAGGCUCGA